ACGGAAGGCAGCAGUGGGGAAUAUUGCACAAUGGGCGAAAGCCUGAUGCAGCGACGCCGCGUGAGCGAAGAAGUAUUUCGGUAUGUAAAGCUCUAUCAGCAAGGAAGAAAAUGACGGUACUUGACUAAGAAGCUCCGGCUAAAUACGUGCCAGCAGCCGCGGUAAUACGUAUGGAGCAAGCGUUAUCCGGAUUUACUGGGUGUAAAGGGAGCGUAGACGGCAAAGCAAGUCUGAAGUGAAAUCCCGGGGCUCAACCCCGGAACUGCUUUGGAAACUGUUUAGCUAGAGUGCAGGAGAGGUAAGCGGAAUUCCUAGUGUAGCGGUGAAAUGCGUAGAUAUUAGGAGGAACACCAGUGGCGAAGGCGGCUUACUGGACUGUAACUGACGUUGAGGCUCGAAAGCGUGGGGAGCAAACAGGAUUAGAUACCCUGGUA
rnacentral:rRNA from 1 species